CCUACGGGUGGCAGCAGUGGGGAAUAUUGGACAAUGGGCGAAAGCCUGAUCCAGCCAUGCCGCGUGUGUGAAGAAGGCCUUCGGGUUGUAAAGCACUUUCAGUGGGGAAGAAAGCCUUGGGGCUAAUACCCUCGAGGAAGGACAUCACCCACACAAGAAGCACCGGCUAACUCCGUGCCAGCAGCCGCGGUAAUACGGAGGGUGCGAGCGUUAAUCGGAAUUACUGGGCGUAAAGCGCGCGUAGGCGGUCUGAUAAGCCGGUUGUGAAAGCCCCGGGCUCAACCUGGGAACGGCAUCCGGAACUGUCAGGCUAGAGUGCAGGAGAGGAAGGUAGAAUUCCCGGUGUAGCGGUGAAAUGCGUAGAGAUCGGGAGGAAUACCAGUGGCGAAGGCGGCCUUCUGGACUGACACUGACGCUGAGGUGCGAAAGCGUGGGUAGCAAACAGGAUUAGAUACCCUAGUAGU
rnacentral:rRNA from 1 species